UACGUAUGUCUCAAGCGUUACCCGGAAUUACUGGGUGUAAAGGGUUCGUAGGUGGAUUUUUAAGUCAGGUAUGAAAGACCGGAGCUCAACUCCGUGUUUGUGCUUGAAACUGGAAAUCUAGAAUUAGGGAGAGGUAAGCGGAAUUCUAAGUGUAGGGGUGCAAUCCGUAGAUACUUAGAGGAACACCAAAAGCGAAGGCAGCUUACUGGAACUAUAUUGACGCUGAUGAACGAAAGCGUGGGGAGCGAAAAGG
rnacentral:rRNA from 1 species